rnacentral:misc_RNA from 1 species
UUACACAUCAAAAUGAUUAGCCAAGUUAAUAUUGCAAUUCAACCAUUUAUAUUUACCCUUACAUCUUUGUAUUUUCUUCAUGUAGACAAGAAUUCUCAAGCCCAACACUCCCCCAGUUAGUAAUAACCCAAUAUGGCCCAAUUAUAUAGCCUUAUAAGCGACUGAAACCCACAACACAAACCAAACUCUGAUACCAUGUUAAAUUUAGAGAGAGUGUUAGACAAAUUAUGUAAUAUUUCAUUUUUAAUCUACGCUAAUACAAGUGAUUAAGUUACUUUUCUUUAUAUAUCAAAAUAACUAACAAAGUUAAUGUUGCGACUUAAUUGCUCCUAUUUACACUUACAUCUUUGUAUUUUCUCAAUGUGGACAAGAAUUCCCAACACUUUUCUUUUUUUUUGCCAAAAAAAAAAAAGCAGCUCUUUGGGUGUAACGGUCACUGCUCCUAGGCUCAGGAUCUGCAGGUAAACACUUUCGUUGCCCCUAGUUUAACCGACCCAGGGGACCUACCACCCAUCG